UUAGCUUUUUGAAUGGUCAAAUGAUCCCUUGUUUUCCUUGUUCUGUUUAUUUCAGUCAUUGGCAUAUUAUCAUUAUUCAUAAAUUUCAAUUAUCACAAAACAGAUACAACUGUAACAGUGAAUUUCCCUCUGGGGUUUAACUGUUGUUUAUAUUUAACAAAAAGAAACAGCACUAUGCUGUCAAGUGCAAGGAGCCAAGUUGUUUUAAAAUAGGUUGUUCUAUUAAAAUAGACAGAACUGUUUUUAUACGCUGUGGUGUACAGUGUUUGUCCACAUAAAUAGAAUU